GACUAAAUAUAAGAGGUCCAGCCUGCCCAGUGACAAAAAUUUAACGGCCGCGGUACUCUAACCGUGCGAAGGUAGCAUAAUCACUUGUUCUUUAAAUGAGGACCUGUAUCAACGGCAUCACGAGGAUUUUACUGUCUCCCUCUUUUAAUCAGUGAAACUGAUCUCCCCGUGAAGAAGCGGGGAUAAUUAUAUAAGACGAGAAGACCCCAUGGAGCUUUAAACCCAGCAACACCUAUUUUUUAUAAGCCUUUAUAUUGACUUAAUUUCUGUUUGCUCGUUUUAGGUUGGGGUGACCGCGGAGCACAAUAAAUCCUCCACGAAAAAAAGACUAACAAUCUUUAUCCAAGAAACACACAUCUAAGAAUUAACAUACUAACUUUUAAUGAUCCGUUAUUCGAUCAACGAACUAAGUUACCCUGGGGAUAACAGCGCAAUCUACCUCGAGAGCUCCUAUCGACAGGUGGGUUUACGACCUCGAUGUUGGAUCAGGGUGUCCCAGUGGUGCAGCAGCUACUAAAGGGUUCGUUUGUUCAACGAUUAAAACCCUACGUGAUCUGA
rnacentral:rRNA from 1 species